rnacentral:rRNA from 1 species
AUUGAACGCUAGCGGGAUGCCUUACACAUGCAAGUCGAACGGAGGGGCGAACGGGUGAGUAAUGUAUCGGAACGUGCCCAGUAGCGGGGGAUAACUACGCGAAAGCGUAGCUAAUACCGCAUACUAUUGGAGCGGCAGAUAUCGGAUUAGCUAGUGGGGGGGGUAACGGCUCACCAAGGCGACGAUCCGUAGCUGGUCUGAGAGGACGACCAGCCAAACUGGGACUGAGACACGGCCCAGACUCCUACGGGAGGCAGAAGUGGGGAAUAUUGGACAAUGGGGGAAACCCUGAUCCAGCCAUGCCGCGUGUGCGAUGAAGGCCUUCGGGUUGUAAAGCACUUUUAGCAGGGAAGCGGUACCUGCAGAAGAAGCACCGGCUAACUACGUGCCAGCAGCCGCGGUAAUUC